UAUGUUGGGCCCCGUGCUGGUGACUGGGCGGUUGCCCAGUCUUGAAAGGGAACCCGGUGAGAGUCCGGGACUGCCCCGCAGCGGUGAGCGAGAACGAGCUCCGUCACGUGCACUGGGCCUUUGGGGUUCUGGGAAGCGACGGAUCGUAGGAGUCCGGUAGAGCGUGUCUCUGCGCCGGCAAGCUCGCGAGUCCGAAGACCUGCCUGCACACGAUCCCGGGA
rnacentral:ncRNA from 2 species